rnacentral:rRNA from 1 species
AGUGAACGCUGGCGGUAGGCCUAACACAUGCAAGUCGAACGGCAGCACAGUAAGAGCUUGCUCUUACGGGUGGCGAGUGGCGGACGGGUGAGGAAUACAUCGGAAUCUACUUUUUCGUGGGGGAUAACGUAGGGAAACUUACGCUAAUACCGCAUACGACCUACGGGUGAAAGCAGGGGAUCUUCGGACCUUGCGCGAUUGAAUGAGCCGAUGUCGGAUUAGCUAGUUGGCGGGGUAAAGGCCCACCAAGGCGACGAUCCGUAGAUGGUCUGAGAGGAUGAUCAGCCACACUGGACCUGAGACACGGUCCAGACUCCUACGGGAGGAAGCAGUGGGGAAUAUUGGACAAUGGGCGCAAGCCUGAUCCAGCCAUACCGCGUGGGUGAAGAAGGCCUUCGGGUUGUAAAGCCCUUUUGUUGGGAAAGAAAAGCAGCAGGUUAAUACCCCGCUGUUCUGACGGUACCCAAAGAAUAAGCACCGGCUAACUUCGUG